rnacentral:siRNA from 1 species
AUCGAAAGUUGCCUUAUGUUCAAC